rnacentral:rRNA from 1 species
UAUUGGGCAAUGGGCGCAAGCCUGACCCAGCAACGCCGCGUGAAGGAAGAAGGCUUUUGGGUUGUAAACUUUUUUUCUUAGGGAUGAAGCAAGUGACGGUACCUGAGGAAUAAGCCACGGCUAACUACGUGUCAGCUGCCGCGGUAAUACGUAGGUGGCAAGCGUUAUCCGGAUUUACGGGGUGUAAAGGGCGUGUAGGCGGGAAAGCAAGUCAGAUGUGAAAACCAUGGGCUCAACCUGUGGCCUGCAUUUGAAACUGUUUUUCUUGAGUACUGGAGAGGCAGACGGAAUUCCUAGUGUAGCGGUGAAAUGCGUAGAUAUUAGGAGGAACACCAGUGGCGAAGGCGGUCUGCUGGACAGCAACUGACGCUGAGGCGCGAAAGCGUGGGGAGCAAACAGG